GACGGCUUGGUUUCUGUAGCCUUUACAGGUCUAUAGUCGGCUCCCACACAGAUCACAUUAUGAGGGUGAGAACUUGGUCUACUGAAUCCAAAGCCAGGCAUGAUGAAUAGUAGCCACAGACAAGAACAAAUCUACUCCAUGUUAGGGCCAGUUCUGCCCCUAUUAUUCAGGUAGGCAAUGAAUCACCAUGUUUUGCUUUCAGGCCUUCCUGUGAGGGCGGUGUGUGCUGAUGGAAGAAAUCACAGGCUCUAAAGUCAGAUAAACCUGGAUUUGCAGUUAUGACUCAGCCACUGCCAGGCCAGAGGCCUCACUGGGGCUCAGUUUUCUCAUCUGUAAACUGGGCUAUCGUGGAUACCUCCCAAAGGUUGAGAGCCAUCCAUGGGCUUCUUGGAAAAGGAGAAGGAAUCUGGAAGCAGCAAGAGGAGGGGUUUUCCUGACUUCCUGGACCCUGGUGCAAAUGGAGCCCACACUUGAGAAGAGCAGAAGUUUCAGAUAAGAAAGGAAAACUGAGGCACCGGGAGGUCAACGCCUGCUCAGGGUCACAACUGCGUCACUCCGGCGGGACUUUCAACCCGCAUUAGCUGUCUGCUUCGCAGGAUCCCAGCCACCUCCCGGCCGUCACUACCGCACUAAAAUGCUGUGUCACGCUGGAGCAGCAGGUUCCCCGUUAAAGUGAAAAAAACAGGAAGGAGGGAAGAGAAGAGAACCUUCGCGAUAAACUCCGGUAAGGAGGCGGAGGUGCACAAGCAGAAACACUUCCUGGUGAUCGUUACUCAGCAUUUUGUGG